CCAGUUUUGCUCCAAGGACCAAUCUUUUACGCCUGGAGCUGGUGGGGGUCGCAGUGGCCAGGGGGAAGCGACUGUUUACUAAAAACACAGGCCCGUGCGAAGUCGUAAGACGAUGUAUACGGACUGACGCCUGCCCGGUGCCGGAACGUUAAGGGGACUGCUUAGCUGACGUGAGUUGGCGAAGGUGAGAACUUAAGCGCCGGUAAACGGCGGUGGUAACUAUAACCAUCCUAAGGUAGCGAAAUUCCUUGUCGGGUAAGUUCCGACCUGCACGAAUGGCGUAACGACUUCCCCGCUGUCUCAACCGCAGACCCGGCGAAAUUGCACUACGAGUAAAGAUGCUCGUUUCGCGCAGCAGGACGGAAAGACCCCGGGACCCUCACUACAGCUUGACAUUGGCGUUUGGAACGUCUUGUGUAGGAUAGGUGGGAGACUGGGAAGCUGUCACGCUAGUGAUGGUGGAGUCAUUGGUGAAAUACCACUCUGGUCGUUUUGAACGUCUAACUCUGGUCCGUGAUCCGGAUCGGGGACAGUGUCUGGUGGAUAGUUUAACUGGGGCGGUUGCCUCCUAAAGAGUAACGGAGGCGCCCAAAGGUUCCCUCAGCCUGGUUGGCAAUCAGGUGUUGAGUGUAAGUGCACAAGGGAGCUUGACUGUGAGACUGACAGGUCGAGCAGGAGCGAAAGCUGGGACUAGUGAUCCGGCAUCGGCGUGUGGAAGCGGUGUCGCUCAACGGCUAAAAGGUACCCCGGGGAUAACAGGCUGAUCUUCCCCAAGAGUCCAUAUCGACGGGAUGGUUUAGCACCUCGAUGUCGGCCCGUCGCAUCCUGGGGCUGGAGUAAGUCCCAAGGGUUGGGCUGUUCGCCCAUUAAAGCGGUACGCGAGCUGGGUUUAGAACGUCGCGAGACAGUUCGGUCCCUAUCCGCUGCGCGCGCAGGAGACUUGAAGGGGGCUGUCCCUAGUACGAGAGGACCGGGACGGACGAACCUCUGGUGUGCCAGUUGUACCGCCAGGUGCACGGCUGGUUGGCUACGUUCGGAAGGGAUAACCGCUGAAAGCAUCUAAGCGGGAAGCUCGCCUUGAAAUGAGGUCUCCCACCACGAGAGUGGGUAAGGCUCCCGGUAGACGACCGGGUUGAUAGGCCGGAGGUGGAAGCACGGUAACGUGUGGAGCUGACCGGUACUAAUAGGCCGAGGACUUGACC
rnacentral:rRNA from 1 species